UCAUAAACUGUUUUGCAGACUCCUGAAGGGUGACGUGCACAGAACUGUAGCUCUCUUCUGUGUCCUUGCCCUUCACAUCUUGCUCAGACACAAGUCACUGAAUCCUUUGGACAUGUGAAUUUCUUCCAGACAUUUCAGCCUCUUUUAAACCUUUGGUUUUACAGCAGCUGUAGUGUAUUUCCCAACAGGAGCUUCACAAAGAGGUCUGUGGAGCAGCUUCCAGUAUGAACAGAGCCUGAAGACUUGAAGUCUGCGGAAGACUUUCUCCUGGCUCCAGGGGACCCAUCUCUGACCAUGGCUGCAGAACUGCUCCAGGGACUGCU